rnacentral:lncRNA from 1 species
UUUUGAUGAAAGUUAUCCUGGCAAUUACUAAUGAUUUGUCAUAAUCUUUACAACAAAACACCCGGAAUAUUAUAAAUACUAUGACAAUGGUUCGAAGUAUGAAAAUUAAAUUGCAGCUAUUAAGAGAGGAAGAAUGGAAGACAUUUUUAGAAGAUGUUUACUGCUAUAGAACUUGUUUACUAACUUUUUUUUAAAAAGGUUAUUGAUCUUAUUUUCCAAGAGAUGGAUAACCAUUUUACAGAAGGAAACAUAGAGCUACUACUUUGUAUUGGCUCUUUGAAUCCUAGAAAUUAAUUUUUCAAGUUUCAAUAACUCAAAACUAGUAUGCCUUGCACAAUUUUAUCCAAAGGAUUUCUCUUUACUAGACCUGGAGUUGUUGCCAAAUCAGUUACACAAUUUUAUGUAUGAUGUGAGAGCGGAGAUUAAUCUGGACUUCAAAAUAUAGGAAAUCUUUCUGUCAUGAUGGUUAAAACACACAGACACACUGCUUAUCCCUUAGUUUAUCUUCUGGUUGAGUUAGUUCUAGUUUUACCCGUUGUCAUCGCGACUGUUGAGAGAAUUUUUUUUGCCAUGAAAGCAAUCAAGACUUAUCAGUGUAAUAGGAUGGAAGAUGCAUGAAUGAAUGAUAGUAUGAUGAUAUAUAUUGAGAAAGCUAUUUAUGCAAGUAUGGAUGACGAAAUAUUUUUCAGCCCCCCCUGAUUUUUAGUCCUGGUUCCGCCACUGAGCUCGCGUAACAUAAAUCAGUGGCACAAGGAGCGCUAGAGUCUAGCACAAAUCAAUCAAAUCAAGCCACAAUCAAGCAUCUGUUUUGUGUUCUUAAUUAUUAUUACGAGGAUAAUUACAAGUAGCUGGCAACAUUCGCAUAACUUAAAUGACAAUGGCAUCCUUUCGAGUAGCUGUAAUCAAUAUGUAACACCGAAAACAAAUUGAGAACUUUCUACAAACACAUUCUUCAAUUACAUAAAAUAGUAACGAAACUUAAUUAUUCCAAACAUAAUCAUGAAAAAGAAAAACAAGAAUCUAGAUUAGAGAUGGAUACCACGUGUUUGUUAGCAUCGAAACGCUUACGCAAAUCAUCGGCCUGCAAAAUAAGAAGAAGAUGAUUGAUUAGAAGCAAAAUUGAAAAUGAAAAGCGAACCCUAGAGAAAUGAAAAAAGUACAUCUGGAUAGAAGAGAUGGCGAUGGACGGCCCAAUUGAGAGUUUCUUUGAGAGCUCGUCGAUAGAGUAUUCGGACUCUCUCCUUUUGUGCUGCCCUUCGAGCUAGGUAUGCUGACACUCCGCUCAUUUCUACCCCUCUUUCUUCUCUUAGAUCGUCUCUCUGAAACUAAAUCGUUGAUUUGGGGCUUCCAAACAGGUCGUUGUGUUUACCUGCAUUUUCCAACUAAUUACCGCAUAUUUUAAUUUUAAUAUAUUUAUUUAAAAAAUUCGAUUAUUUAUAAAUUCUUUUAAAUAAUAUGUUAUGUAGAUAACUAAAUUAAUAUAUUAAAUCAAAUUAUAAUUAUUGGAGGCGCGAGCCCAGCGCGAGCCCGAUUGGCGCCGGGGACGUGUGAAGUGGCAAAUGGCCAUACAAGCAGCGCUGAAGCAAAAGUAGAAAAUCGGUUAGGCUUGCCGCACUAGGCUCGGCCUCAGCAACUUUUUCACCUUUUUCGGUCUUUUCAGUUUAUAUAUAUAGGCAAGUGCUCAAAUGAGAACCCCAGCUAAUAUGAGAUAUGAGAUCUAAUCUCAGCCCCACAUUUUUAUCCCUAAAUUAAAUCACAUCCACACAUUUUAUAACCCACCCAUCCACCCACCCACCCACGGCCUCCUCUCUCUCUCUCUCGAUUGUCUUCCCUCCACCACCUCCCACCGCCGGCCGCCCUCCCACCACCGGCCGCACUCCCUACCCGCAUCUCAGCCCCCUUUCUUCUCCAAUUUCUUCAUCUCUUCCCGUCAUCGCGGUCGUGGCCACCACCAUGCACCACGCACCAACAGCUCCGGCCACCACUGCCGCAACACCAGAUCUGCUCAUCUCUCCUUCUUUCUUUCUCUCUCUCUCUCAUCUCUAGCCCCAAGCCACGUCGCCCUCCUCCACCGGUCGAUAAGCCGCGUCCUUGCACAAUCUCUUUGAACUCUUUAGUCUUCAGAUUCUUUAACUCAACUGGCCACAGCGCCACAACAUUUUCGCCGUCGCCGGAAGCGUCAAAUCGACGCUGGUGAUUUUUCAGAUUGAGGUGUAUUGAUUGUAAUUAGUGAUUUUUCAUAUUUGGGGCUUUGUACAUGGUGGUGGUGCUGGUUUUGUAACUAGUGAUGAAUUGGAAAUGAUGAUUUUCUGUUGUGUUUUUGAUUUUUUCCGAUGGUGAUUUUAUUCUGUAUUUGGUGAUUUUUCAGAUUUGGGGGUGGCGGUGGUGGUUUUUAGAUGGUGGCAGUGUGGUGAUUUUAAUUUUCUGGCGUUGAUUUUUGGUUCUCUGGCGGUGAUUUUUAGUAUUCCGAUGGUGAUUUUAUAUUUUACGGUGGUGAUUUUAUGUUUGACGAUGGUGAUUUUAUGUUUGCCGGCGGUGAUUUUCUGAUGGUCGCCGGAGCUGGUGGUGGUGGUCAACGGUGGUUGAAGGUGAUAGGUAGUUAAAUUAGAAGAUGAUAAAAUAUAAUAAUAUUAAAUGAAUGGUGAAAGAUGAAUAUAAUGUAUUUAAAUGAGUGAGAGAGUCUAAUUUACAAAUACAUUCAAAUAGAAACACUCAGAGCAACUAGAUCAUGCAAACUGUAUGAUGCAUGCUGAGUACUUUGUCCAUUAGAAAAAUAAUAUAAAAUAUAGUUAAGAGAGAAAGUGUGCUCCUCAUUGUUGAGGAAGCAAAUAGAGCACCUAAGUUCCACACACACACACGUUGCAUGUAGUUUCAACGUUAAUAUUACCGUUUUAGAUUAAAAUUACAGUAGAAACUCUUUAAAUUAAUACUCGGUAAAUUAAUAAACACUUGUUGGAGUUCAUUUCAUCUCCAUAUUCUUUAAUUUUUGGCUAAAGAGCCCAUACGAAGAAGCUUUUGGGCAUGCUCUCAUAAGUCAUACGCACACAUUGACACUACCCUAACUCGGUCCGGUCCCGACUUGGGCCAGUGUAAAAAAUUGAAAAACUCGAUAAAAUAAUAAGAUAAUAAUUUUUUGGGAGAUCCCUUUAUAAUUUUCGGUCCCAAGAAUUGCAGCUAUUAAGAGAGGAAGAAUGGAAGACAUUUUUAGAAGAUGUUUACUGCUAUAGAACUUGUUUACUAACUUUUUUUUAAAAAGGUUAUUGAUCUUAUUUUCC